GUCCGGCCGCCAGGUCUAGUGAGGGCGUUGGCGGAGCCGGGGCACUGCCCUGGCGGGGAGGAGCCGGCGCGGCGGGGGCGGCGCGUUAACCAGCUCGGGGCCCGGGAGCGCGCGCGGGGAGGGGGCGGGGGUCACCCGGGUCGGGGCCCUCGAGUUCGAUCUGUCCCGCAGCCGGCGGUCUUGCGUCUUUCCCGCCCCCAGCACUGCCCCCGAGCACGUGCACGUGCCCACCGCCAGCCACAGCACUAACUGUGUGCCAGAGAGCAGUGAGAACCGAAGACACAGUAGCUUCUAUCAAGGCCCUCAUCGCCUGGUGGGAGACUGAGAAGGAAAGAAGGCAAUGAUGACAAGGUCAAAUCUCAGCUGAGAUGUCAUCUCCUCAAAGAUUUGCAUGGCUGUAGGCUUUGCCACCAGGAGAUAGUGACCCAACAAACAAGCUUGUAUGGAUGGGGACGCUGAGGCCCAGGGAGGAGCAGUGACCUGCUAUAUCACAAACCUUGUUAAGGAGCCAGAUCAGCAGAAAGGCCUGAAGGUUCUCCCCACAUACUCCUGUUCCCACUCCCCUUUUCCUUUUGUGACUUAUCCCCAAUAAACCUCUAACACUGCUAACUCCAU
rnacentral:lncRNA from 10 species